GAUGAACGCUGGCGGCGUGCCUAAUACAUGCCAGUCGAGCGAACGGACGAGAAGCUUGCUUCUCUGAUGUUAGCGGCGGACGGGUGAGUAACACGUGGAUAACCUACCUAUAAGACUGGGAUAACUUCGGGAAACCGGAGCUAAUACCGGAUGAUAUUUUGAACCGCAUGGUUCAAAAGUGAAAGACGGUCUUGCUGUCACUUAUAGAUGGAUCCGCGCUGCAUUAGCUAGUUGGUAAGGUAACGGCUUACCAAGGCAACGAUGCAUAGCCGACCUGAGAGGGUGAUCGGCCACACUGGAACUGAGACACGGUCCAGACUCCUACGGGAGGCAGCAGUAGGGAAUCUUCCGCAAUGGGCGAAAGCCUGACGGAGCAACGCCGCGUGUGUGAUGAAGGUCUUCGGAUCGUAAAACUCUGUUAUUAGGGAAGAACAUAUGUGUAAGUAACUGUGCACAUCUUGACGGUACCUAAUCAGAAAGCCACGGCUAACUACGUG
rnacentral:rRNA from 1 species